GUGUAGCGCGCAUGCAGCAAAUAGUCCGGGCAUCAGAAGGACUGGCCGAUACCGGCAUAGAUUCCGUAAUCGGUGCCCCCCGGAUACUUGUUGAGCGGCACGGCGAAGUCGAGCCGGAUCGGCCCGAAUGG
rnacentral:sRNA from 1 species